AGUGCAGCCUGAGUGCUGUGAGGAAGAUUAUGAGUAAGAUAGAAAGCACACAUGAAUUUGGGCUUUGUUGUGUGGCAAGAUGAUAAAAGAUGGAACUCUUUGUCAGAGCGGUUUUUGUGUGUGUAUGUGUGGCAGCGGUCUGGCGGAGGCUGGAAAGCAGGUGGGCGAGAGGAGUUGAAAUGACACCUGGUAACAGGCUGACAGCCCCAAGUACCUCAGAGCCAGUCAGCUACGCUAAUACAGCAAUGGUAUCAACAUAAACACUCCCAAGAACCGGCACGUCUCUCAGUGGACUAGCACCCCAAGGCGCUCCACUCCAUCAGCCUGAGAAAUGGACCCUCCUGCUGUUUACUCCUACCCAGCAGGGCCACAAGCCCGUACCUGAGGUGAUGACCACAUGGACCUCAGCACCUGGCAGCCAUUCAUCAUUCCCAGCAGCACUGCAGCCUUUGAUACCCUGAUAUGGUUCUGAUGGUGUAUGCAAGAGGUCGAUCUCGAAGAAGCCCAGGCCAUGGAGGAUGGUGCUCUCCUCCAGUUUGCUGCAGAGUCCCGCUAUCCUGUACGGCUGUGCAUCUCAACCAGACCUAAACAUGCACAUUUGACACAUAGGCACAGUGAUGAGGCUGACCUAAAUGACUGGGAUAUUAUUGGGAGAGUGAGAGAGGGAGACCUCUGGUGAAUACUGAUGAAGCUUGGCACAAAGCUGCCUCCUGGCCUCAUUAACCUGCCGAAGACUGCCUUUGUUUUCCUCUGCAAUGCUCCAAACACUUCCUACAUCCUGUCCGAAAGGAGUUUCGGAAGUCACGCCGUGGACAGAGAAGAGGCAGCCUUCAAGAAGCUCAGGGGUGGCAGCAUGAGCAGGACCAGCACACUGUGUGUUGGGAAAAGAAAAGAAGAAGAAAAGUUUGUCAAAAUGUCACAGGAAAAGGGAGACUUAUUAAGAGGAAAUUAAGCAGUAAAGUGUGUGAAUUAAGUAAAAAAAAAAAAAAAAGUAAAAAACAUGUUUGUAAAGAGUUUUUAAAUGUGUUGAAAAGUGCCAGAUGGAGAAAGGGGAAAAGUCAGCUAUUUUGCAAUACAACACAAAAACAUGGCUCAUACAGUCUCCCGCCGCACUUGCAACAACUAAAGAAGAAGGAGGUGGAGGCGAGGACAGAGAGUGAGGAAGUGGAGCGAAAGGAUGAGAACAAGGUAAAGCAAAAGUAGGACGGGAGGUUUGUGCUCUUUCAUAUCCCUUGGCACAGCACGUCGUUGUUUUGUUAGUUGACGUGUGUGCAGUGUGAUGCCCGUGUGCGCGUUCGUACGUGUCUUUGUAUGUGUGUGUGUGUGUUAGCGCAGGAGAUUUCAAUUUCAUCUUUAAUGGAAACAGCAAAUAGGGGAACAAAUAAAAUGCAAAGGAGAAGAGCAAAUCCUCCCUGCAGAGGCCCAGUCAGAAUGGAUGAUGAGGCCGACAUGAAGCAAACAUUCUGCUGUUCACAAAACAAGGUGGGUAUGAGGAUAGGGGAGGCAGCGACAGGAGACACAGGGGGAAACUGAGGUGAAGAGGGAGGAGGAAAAAGCAGCCUGGAGGAGGGUGAGGGAAAGAGGAGGAACGAUGGGGAGUACCCAGAAACAGGAGGAGGAAAUAGAAGAGCAAAAAGGAGAAGGCAGAGAGGGAGUGAGGCGGGAUGAAGGGACGGGGGAUCAGUCAUGGUGUGUCUUCCAGUCAGAUUCGGCCCUUAUACUGUGGAAGGGAGUAGCCGUGUAGUCAGAAAUCAUCAGGAGCAGGAACAGAUUAGAUACAGGCUAUUGGUUCUGAUGAGGCCUCGUAUAGAUCAGUAAUGGCUCAGUAGGGACAGAGGGAAAAAGAGUGGGAGAGACAGAGCAGCAGUAAGGUGCUGGCUUUCAGUACUGGUAGCACUAGGAGUAUAGAUUCCCUGUAUGCAUAUGGAAAUGAUUUUAUAUUGUAAAAGGAAGUUGUUGGUAGGUCCAAUUCUACAGAACAAAUAUCUGUGAAAAUUAUGUGUGUAUUAUGUGGAAUACACCAGUUAAAUAAGUUAAAUGUGAUAGUAUUUCACCAUAUGUGUAAAUCUUGUUAGUUACGCCUUUUCCUGUUAAUCCACUUGACAGUAGGAUGAAAACAGAGGGACAGCGAGAGCAGAUGAAGGAAGAGGGAAGUGGAGGGCUGGCGGCGGAGAGAGAUGCCUCAGCCUGCUGCUCUGCCAUGCAGGGACGUGACCACCCACCGGGCCAGUCAAGGCUGAGGCCUUGCAUCAUAUCAGAGGUGCAGAUAGACACCCAGCCGAGUCAUCUGGUCUUUGGGGGAUGGGACAGAUGGACACAUACAAACGUGCGAGUGCACUCGCACAGGCACACCACAUAGACAUGGGCAGAACAUAGAACCAUGCUUCAUAAAAGAUUAGAAACAUUUCUGUGUGAUCGUGUGUGCCACGCACGCACACACGCACGCACGCACGCACGCACCCACAGGUACUUUUAAUGAA